GAUUCGAGCGAAGCGAGAAAGCGUUGCCGCAGGCAACGACCCGAAGGGCGAGGCGCAACGCGCCGAGUAAUCCUUCCCCCACCACCA
rnacentral:sRNA from 1 species